rnacentral:sRNA from 1 species
GCCAGGUGUGGUGGUGUGCACCUGUAAUCCCAGCUACUCAGGAGGCUGAGUCAGGAGGAUCACUUGAGCCUGGGAGGUUGAGGCUGCAGUGAGUCAUGAUUGUAUCACUGCACUCGAGCACUCCAGCCUGGGAGACAGAGUGAGACCCUGUCUCAU